UCCAGAAUUGGCCUCGACUUAAGUUUUAUGUU
rnacentral:piRNA from 1 species